rnacentral:rRNA from 1 species
GAGUGAAACUCAAAGGAAUUGACGGGGACCCGCACAAGUAGCGGAGCAUGUGGUUUAAUUCGAAGCAACGCGAAGAACCUUACCUAAGCUUGACAUCCCAAUGACAUCUCCUUAAUCGGAGAGUUCCCUUCGGGGACAUUGGUGACAGGUGGUGCAUGGUUGUCGUCAGCUCGUGUCGUGAGAUGUUGGGUUAAGUCCCGCAAC